rnacentral:rRNA from 1 species
CCUACGGGUGGCAGCAGUGGGGAAUAUUGCACAAUGGGGGAAACCCUGAUGCAGCGACGCCGCGUGAGUGAAGAAGUAAUUCGUUAUGUAAAGCUCUAUCAGCAGGGAAGAAAAUGACGGUACCUGAGUAAGAAGCCCCGGCUAACUACGUGCCAGCAGCCGCGGUAAUACGUAGGGGACAAGCGGUAUCCGGAUUUACUGGGUGGAAAGGGAGCGUAGACGGCAGUGCAAGUCUGGAGGGAAAGGCGGGGGCUCAACCCCCGGACUGCUCUGGAAACUGUACGGCUGGAGUGCAGGAGAGGUAAGUGGAAUUCCUAGUGUAGCGGUGAAAUGCGUAGAUAUUAGGAGGAACACCAGUGGCGAAGGCGGCUUACUGGACUGUAACUGACGUUGAGGCUCGAAAGCGUGGGGAGCAAACAGGAUUAGAUACCCCGGUAGUC